UUUGUGUUUGGAAACAAGAUUGCAAGGCCACCAUAACAGGGUCGCAGAGACAGCUGUCUGGCCCUGUGACCUGGCGUGAGACCUUGCUCAUAAAUCAAUUAGAUAAGCUGGGAAACUACCUUAGUUUCUUCCUUGAGCCCUGGCCAGGCCCUGGGAGAAUCUAACGUAAGAAUAGAACCAGAUAUUUCUGCUUAAAUCAAAGGUGCCAGCUAUUCUGGCUACCUAAUUUUGAGGUAUAUAAGGCUGGACCUGUUCACAGUGACUUCGGAAGCCUCACCCAUGGGUGGACGCACCACGUAGGAUUUCCCACUUGAAGGAACAGGUUCUCUAAAUCCUCGCUGUAACUGGGGCUCCCCAGUGACUGCGGAUCUAGAUGAUGGUAAAGUAUGCAAGUGGUGAUGGAUCUUUCUUAAUCACUGUUCUCUUUCUCAGGUAGUAAUGAUUUGAUGCAUUAC